UCCCUGGUAGUCCAGAGGUUAGGACUUGGUGCUUUCACUGCUGUGGUCCCAGGUUCAAUCCCUGGUCAGGGAA